rnacentral:rRNA from 1 species
GACGAACGUUGGCGGCGUGCUUAAUACAUGCAAGUCAACUGAAGCAGUGGUAGCAAUCUCGCUGUGGAGGUGGCGCACGGGUGAGUAACACGUAGGUAAUCUGCCUUCAGGUCUGGCAUAACUCCGGGAAACCGGGGCUAAUAGCAGAUGAUGCAGCGGCUCGACAUCGAGACAGUUGUUAAAGCUAUGGCGCCUGAAGAUGAGCCUGCGUCUGAUUAGCUAGUUGGCGGGGUAACGGCCCACCAAGGCAACGAUCAGUAGCUGGUCUGAGAGGAUGAUCAGCCACACUGGAACUGAGACGCGGUCCAGACUCCUACGGGAGGCAGCAGUAAGGAAUAUUGCUCAAUGGGAGAAAUCCUGAAGCAGCAACGCCGCGUGAGGGACGAAGAGCUUUUGCUUGUAAACCUCUGUAGUGAGAGAAAAAAAUCCCAAUCUUUGGGACAUGAUGGUAUCUCAAAAGUAAGCCCCGGCUAACUACGUG